GGGGAAUAUUGGACAAUGGGCGCAAGCCUGAUCCAGCCAUGCCGCGUGGGUGAAGAAGGCCUUCGGGUUGUAAAGCCCUUUUGUUGGGAAAGAAAAGCAGCCGGCCAAUACCCGGUUGUUCUGACGGUACCCAAAGAAUAAGCACCGGCUAACUUCGUGCCAGCAGCCGCGGUAAUACGAAGGGUGCAAGCGUUACUCGGAAUUACUGGGCGUAAAGCGUGCGUAGGUGGUGGUUUAAGUCCGUUGUGAAAGCCCUGGGCUCAACCUGGGAACUGCAGUGGAUACUGGAUCACUAGUGUGUGGCAGAGGGUAGUGGACUUCCAGGUGUAGCAGUGAAAUGCGUAGCGCUCGGGAGAAACAUCAGUGGCGAAGGCGUCUGCCUGGGCCAACACUGCUCUUGCGGAACGAAAGCGUGGGGAGUAAACA
rnacentral:rRNA from 1 species